rnacentral:snoRNA from 1 species
UGAUACUGUUUAUAACACACUCAAGAGGAAUCUGGGGUCAAUGUGAUAAGGGGCACACAACUUGUGGCCUCCCUAUGAACAAAGUCCCUACAUGU